AUACGUAGGGUGCGAGCGUUGUCCGGAAUUACUGGGCGUAAAGAGCUCGUAGGUGGUUUGUCGCGUCGUCUGUGAAAUUCCGGGGCUUAACUCCGGGCGUGCAGGCGAUACGGGCAUAACUUGAGUACUGUAGGGGAGACUGGAAUUCCUGGUGUAGCGGUGAAAUGCGCAGAUAUCAGGAGGAACACCGGUGGCGAAGGCGGGUCUCUGGGCAGUAACUGACGCUGAGGAGCGAAAGCAUGGGUAGCGAACAGGAUGAGAUACCCUGGUAGUCCAUGCCGUAAACGGUGGGCGCUAGGUGUAGGGGUCUUCCACGACUUCUGUGCCGUAGCUAACGCAUUAAGCGCCCCGCCUGGGGAGUACGGCCGCAAGGCUAAAACUCAAAGGAAUUGACGGGG
rnacentral:rRNA from 1 species